rnacentral:rRNA from 1 species
AACGGCCAUACCAUGCUGAAUAUACCGGUUCUCGUUAGAUCACCGAAGUCAAGCAUCAUUGGGCGCGAUCAGUACUUGGGUGGGUGAACACCUGGGAACACCGCGUGCCGUU